GCUCCGGGCCCGGCUGCGGGAGCACCACCCGGACAGCGGGGAGCAGGCGGCGACCGUGCUGGAGGAUCCGGAGAGGGAGCUGGGCUGGCGGCCUCUCUGUGGUGUGGGUUUGCUGAUGUGAAACACAGGAGUGUACAUGUGCCUUGAGAGCCGGUGUCUGGAGAGCCCGUUCUGUUGCCACAGUACUGGCCUGGGGCGGCCAGACCCUGCCCAAGUGGGUUUGUUACCAAGUGACGCAGUGCUUUUAAUGCCACGUAGUGGGAUGAAUCCAUUAGAGACGGACGCCACGGGGCUGACGUGGCUCUGAUGCCGUGGCCACCCCUGCAAGUAAAGCCAAGUGUAAGCCUGUCGGUGCCUCAAGGUUGUGAAAUUGAAACCCAAGGAGGCGUCAGGCUACGGCCAAUCAGUCCUCGCUUCACUUCUGCUCUGGUCCGGCUCUCCCCCAGCCGCUGGGGGCCUUCCUGGCCCUUCGGGCUUGGCGCCAUCUGAUUCAAGUCCGUUUGUGCUCACAUCAACUCUUAGAAUGUUCACUACGCCUGCGUUUGUCUUCUGUCUGGUGUGAAGAGAUAAGAUUGCAUGUGUUCACCUGAAUUGUAGACCAAUUGUGUCUGUAAGGAGGUCACGGCUUGUAAUGUGGCAAACGAGAGCUUGCCUCGGUGCUGCCGUUACCCGUCGUGGGAGCGCCGACCGUCGGCUGUCGCUGACACUGGUGUCCUUUCCUGACGAAACCCCGCUUAGGUUAACGUCCUUGAAGAAGGAAUCAUGACUUACUUUCAUUCAUCCUCAAAUUAUCAGCGUUGAGCGUAAGACCCAGAAAAUAGUACCGAUACACGUUCGUGUUUCCUGCCAUGCAUCUAACUCUGGUCCUGAGAUUUACUCCUCUCCUGGUGUUUGAAUCCUGUCUCUUCCUCCCCACCUUGCAGGGGGGCCACAAGAUCCCUGUUUAGCUCCAUCUUCAAUGUCGAUUCCUCUCAGCUCCUGUACUUCAUUGUCCCAGCUCAUCCGCACACUGAGCUGUCAUCCCCUUAGAUACUUGUUCUAAAUCUUUGGAAACUUCUUCUUACCUGCUUGUAUGAAAUCUGACCCUUCGCAGCUUAACUAUAAUCUCAUUCAGUACAAACUUACUACAAAUAAAACUUCCCUGCCCACAGGAAAGCUCAGUCUAGCUGUAGACUCAGGGUUGCCUCAGUAGCAAAAUGCAGUUACAUAUAAUAUUUUAUUUAUAAUACUGUGUGUGGACAUUGAAAAGACAAAUACUGGACAAUACUUGAAGUCAUUUUAUACGAUGAAAAUCUCCAAAAGGGCAGAAGGUUGGGCCCUUAGUUUUACCCCAAAUGACCUUUGUUUUGAACGCCUUUUGUUCUGUGUAAUCUGAGACUACUUUGCAACCAAUUAUUUUCAAUAGGAUAUGAUAUUUUUAGCUAAAUAUAAAGCUGUUGGUCUGAGAUUAUACCUUUUUAAAAUUAUAAUCAUUAACAUCUAAAGUAUCAAAGCAAAAGAAAAAACAUUUUAAAUAUCAGAACUG